GUGAAGAGUCCUCAAAGAGAACCACUUAGGAUGAAUGGAGUGCCUGCAGCAAUAAGACCCAACCCAUCAUUCUUCUUUGAGGCCACUCACCACUCCUUGUUACCACUGCUCCUGUCCACACAAUAGGCUGCCCAUCUAGACCUGGACCAGCUCCUGCAAGAAACCCAGCCCUCCCUGGAAGAUAACUGUAUCUGAAAAUGUUGUUGAUCCGAGGGCUGUUUAUACUCAGAAGGAGAACUUGAGAAACCUGAUAACAGAAGCCUCUCUUCUGAGAGGCUGGACUUGAAUUCCUGGGCUCCAGUGAUCCUCUUGCCUCGGCUUUCUGAGUUGCUGGGAUUAUAGAUGUACCUGGGAUAUUGCAUUCAAUUCUGGGUACCGAAUUCUCACAGGGACAAGUAAACAUAAAUCUGCACAGGAUAAGGAGAGCAAUGGGAUUUCAAGCUUUCCACAUAAUGCAAGAUUUUCCCCAAUCUAACAAAUGAUUUAUGGGAAAUAUCAGGUUAGAAGUCUGACACAGGUCUCACUGGGAUGAAACAAAAGCAUCAGCCACGCUGCCUCAACUUCCUUGCCCUUCCAGCCCCUGGAGACUGCCUCUAUCCUGUGGCUCAGGGUCCUUUUCUCCAUAUUCAAGGCCAGCAGUGCAGCAUCUCUCCAACUCUUCUUCUGUCAUCACAUCUUUCUCUGACCACAGCUGGGUAAAGUUUUCUACUUUUAAGGAUUUGUGUGAUUAAAUUGGUUCAUCCAGUUAAUCCAGGUAAAUCUCCCUAUCUCAAGGUCCUUAACUGAAUCACAUUUUGGAUGUAAGAUGACAUAUGCACCAGUGCCCAGGUUCGGGGUGCAAACACAUUUGGGGAUUAUGCCUACCACAUGACCACAAUAUUCUAUUCUUCAACCUCAAUAUUCCAUUCCUUUCUCUGAUGCAAUGGGGUAACAUGUUAGUCUUUACACUAUGCCGAAAAGAUGUCAGAUGAAGCCAUGUGACAGAAAGACCAGGAAAUCUGCAGAGAAGAUAAUCAGAGGAUUCAUCUUUUUGUGCUUCUCCCACCGUACUAGUCUUACUCUACAAGGUCACCUUGUACAUUUGUGCAGGUUGUACACUGCUCAACCCCAGAGUAUGCCCUGAAGUUGCUCAGGGCACGAACUUUGCACCCACACAUGGCAGCCCUGCCCUCCCUAUUUCAGCCACUGGCUCCUGAAAUCAUAAUUUGUCUACAUAUCUAGCUAUUGAUCAUGAUUAAAUUGAAUUUUUUAAGACUAUUUAGAAAUAUUUUCUUUAACUUACACUGUACAUGGAACUUGCUGGUGUGCAUUUAUUGUGAUAAAAUCAGUGGCUCUGUAAAAAGAAAAAAAAAAUAAAAAGAAGAAAAAGAAAAAGAAAAGGAAAGGAGGAAAAUAUACCUUAAUAGCCAUGGAGUGAGAUCACUCGAGCAGCAAGAAGCUUAGAAACAAAUUCCUGUCGCUCAACCUUGGGCUCAUACACAGUGACAUUGACACCAUUAUAACAUCCAGCCCAUGACUGCAAAAGGCAGGGGAAAUGUUUUCCUGUGACAAGAAAACGGGGGCUGGAAUAAAGAGAAGACAAAGGAGCCCUCACAAGAAUACUCCUCAGUUGCACCUACAGCUCAACGAGAAAGAUUUCAGACAUGAAUCCCUGAUAAGCACCAGCUAGGCUGUUAUGUUUAAUCCUUCACAUUUUGAGCAUGUCAUAGUACUCCAUGAAAAAAAGCUUAUUGCAUAAGCUGUUGUGACUCUCCUAAGCUCAUUCUCUUCAACAAUGCAGGAAAUAUAAUAACAGGUAGGUGAUCAAGAAAAUAGAUGUGAUCCAACCAUUAUGCAAGAUUCCAUUUUGUUAAAGGUCAAGACAAAUUAUUACCAACUCCUUGGAGAUACUGUUACAUAGUUGCUGGGGACAAAAGGUUUCCUUUCAGAAGAGCUUCUUAGAAGCAAUAUGUGCUGUGUUUCAAUCUUCAGCUAACUUUUAGUUAAUGACUCUUGCUUUUUCUCCUACCAGCUCUGCUUAUUAAAAAGGAGAAUGGAGUCUGGAGUGUGUGCUGUCAGAAUGAGCAGCAGGGUCAGUCCCUAAUCCCAAAUUGGAUGCCCCAGGAUGCCGGCUACAGAAUGGGGGAAAUGCUUACGUUUGAUUAACCUUCCAGGUAGAGAAAGGGAGGCAGCCAGGGGUCUGCAGCUACAUGACAUGGUAUAAUAAUAGUUUUAAAAUAUGGCAUUCCUAGGAAGAUGCAAGGAAAGUCACAGCAUGUGGUGCUGACUUAGUGUAACAAAUGAAGAAGACUGUGCAUGGACACAAUAGCAAGAAAGCCUUUAAGGGAAGAACAUCACCAACCUGGGCAUUCAUUUUCUUCAAAAUAUUUGCAACAAUAUGAUAAUCCCUUAUGUCUGCAUGGUGCCUAUGGAGUAUAUAAUGCUCCAAGGACACUACUCCAUUUGAUCUACCACUGUCUUUUGUGUCAAAGUGUUAGAAUUGAGAAGCAUUUUCUCUGUUUAAAGAAAAAAAAAUCUUGAUUAAAUUGUUAAUGCAGUUUCUUUCUUUCUCUGGCCUUUUCUUAAACAAUUUCUUUCAGGUAUAAACAGUGAAGAGGGAAUAAACAUCCCUGGGAGAGAGAGGGAGAUGUUGGACUAAUGAGGAGGAAGAAAAAAACUAUACAGUGCAGAAAGACAUCUUUGAACACAUUUCUCUCAGACUGGAAUACUCAUGGAUCAAAGAAAGCACAAGAGUGAAAGAACAUCUUGGGUCUUCUUCCACAACUGGGCUUAUCAAACCAACAAGGCUCUGAUAUCUCAUCCACCUACCAGCAGCAUCUUAAACUUGUCACAACAAACAAAAUCACAGCCUUUUCCUCCUUGUUUACUCAGAGCAGGGCACACACAGAUAUGUAGCUAAUGCACUGUGUCAGUGCUAGAUGCAAUUUUCUAAACCCACUGCAAAAAAUGCUGUCAUUACAACCCUACCCUUCAUGUGAAAACCCCACAAGAAUCAGUCUUCUUUUAAUAGUUGCAAAUUCCUUUGUGUUAAAACUUAGUUUAAUUAAAAUGUCAAAAUAGACCCUGUUCUAGAUAGAAAGCCACAGUGGUAAGAAAUAUAGGUGAGCACUUUUGCCUGAAAGGCUUGGAAGGAGAACUUGGUGGAACAUUAACUCUUCAGUCAUCAAAGGACCCUCUGGACAUUCAUCUUUAUCUCUAAUUUUCUGCAUAACUAUUUGUUACCCUGAUAACCAGCUAUAUAACCAGUAUUAUAGUUUUAUGGGCAGAGAAAGUAGAGAAGCUAGCUCAGCCUCUUCGGAGUGUUCUUGUGUUGUUGAUUUUCAAGGGAAUUCAGGCAACCAACUUCAUUCCUUUAGGUGAUACAGGAAGGGGAAUUUCUUCUUAUUGGUCAGGCCCAAAAUGCUGCAGUUGGCUGGACUCAAACCAUGUCUUAAGUUUGAAAGAGAUGACAAACAAGCAAUCUUAGCCAUCCACAUAACUGUGAAAUCUUUGCAAGGCAGGAAGAAAGAAAGGGGGGAAAAUAAGCACCUGAAAGAGUAUUGUUCCUUUUCUUUUUUAAAAAAAGCCUUGAAAUGUGUUUAAAAAAUAUUUUAUGAGGUCACACUAAAAAAAAAGAGUAAUUGGAAGAAAAAUUCUGCUUGUCUAAGCGAAGAGCACAUUUGUAGCGGUAGGGUAAAUGUUUUAUCGAUUGAGAAGCUGGGAAACUCAAGUCAUUACUCACCAUGGGCUAAAGAAUAAUUGCUAAUGCUCUGGCGGAAAGAUUAAAAACAGUUUCUGGAAGUAUUUCUUACAAUGAUCAAUGGUGUAUCAUCCCAGGCCAUUGGAUCUUCAAUAACAUUUUUCCCUUUUGGGAUACAAUCAAUUUUUAUAAUAUGAUUCAUUUGCCAGUGGGCAUGCUUUCUUCAUACGAUGAAAAGGCACUUAUGCAUCUUAUAUUUUUGAAAAGUAAUCUUAUACAGCCGAAGAUCAGGCUGUGGGAUAGAAGACUCACCUGAAUCCAUCUCUAUUUUAAAUAGCUUUGGGAACUCAUCUAGGUUGUGGGGCGGGAGGGAGGGUCAGAGAGUGGGCAGUAGCUGGCACCUUUGUUAUUGCUUUGUUAACCCUUUAAGAAUGUAUUUAGCACACUCUGACAGCCAUCGUGAUCUUCCUAACAUGAGGAUGGUGACUGAGAGUGCGGUAUUAGAUUUGAGCAUAUGCCACCAUGAGCUUGAAUCAUUUACAACACUAAUUACCCUGGCAGAACUCUCAGGUCAAGGGUUGCCUUGCAGCUGUAUACCGGCUGCCCACAUCUGAGCAGGUCUUCAGCUUCCUGUGGUAGAGCUCAACGUUCUGCUGCUGAAUCCAUCAAUGCAUCUCUGCGUUAAUAAAUAACAGCUUCAGUUAUGAGAGGAUGUGCUUAUCCCACAAUUUCUCCCAGGAGAGAAAAACACUAAAAGCUUGGGCACAGCCAUCUCUCCAGCUCCAGCUUGCCAUUGGACUUGUGAUGAGAAAGAAGGAUGGCGCCAUCACCAGGGUCUGCCAAAUGCAUAGGCCAGGAAAAAAAAAAAAAAAGAGUGAAAGGAGUGGAGCCAAGCUUAGGAAGUGAUAAAAUGAUCUUUUGAUGAGUGACAUGCACCCCACCUGGAAUUUUAUUUGAAUAUGAGAACAAUGGGAAUAGCUUUUAUGAGAUUAUAGAAAGGUUAAUCCACUUUCUUCCUAUUCCAAAUUCUCCUCAUUCAACACCUUGGCUUUCUUUGUAUCCAUGGAACUGAAUGUCUAAAUUAAAAUAAAAGAAAACAAACAAAAAAAUUUAAAAAUGUGGCUCAGAUUCCCUACAUUUCAAAUAUUUCCUUGUUUGAUGGAGAGAUUAACCUAACAUCCAACCUGGAUUCCUAAGCCCCCUUCUGUUUGUUUCCAUUUGAAUGUUUAGCAUUGUAUAGACACAAUCAUUAGCGACUUUUGCAUGUUUCUAGUCUAUUUAUUUGAUAA